rnacentral:rRNA from 1 species
UACGUAGGGGGCAAGCGUUAUCCGGAUUUACUGGGUGUAAAGGGUGCGUAGCCGGAAAGGUAAGUCAGAUGUGAAAGCCCGAAGCUCAACUUCGGGAUUGCAUUUGAAACUAUCUUUCUAGAGUGCAGGAGAGGAAAGUGGAAUUCCUAGUGUAGCGGUGAAAUGCGCAGAUAUCAGGAAGAACACCAAUGGCGAAAGCAGCUUUCUGGGACGGUACUGACGCUGAGACGCGAAAGCGUGGGGAGCGAACAGG